GCCAGGGAUGGGCGCGGGCUUAUAGAUUUCUCCCUCCAAAAUAAGCGUGGAAGUUAUUAGCCAAAGGCUUCCCCUAAAGAAUAGGAGCUUAUAUUAUUGCCUGAAAAAGAGAGGGUCUUAAUAGAGAAUUUACCGUAUGCAGGAGCAAAAUAUCCGAGCAGCAAUGAGCCCAAUUCGGCCAGUUUUGACGUUCUGACUGUUGUUGUACGGCCGAAGCUGAGCUAAUGGUGACCAGAUCGAACGCGGCAAAAGCUCAGCGUGUUGGUGGGACGGAAUUUUCUGUGUGCCUGUAAUUGCCUUUUAUGGAAGCUGGCCUGGACCCCAUUCCAGCAUUCUCUGCUCACAAAGCAGAUUGUCAAUCAUUGAUCCAGUCAUUGAUCCAAUAGCUCUUUGAGCUUUUGUCGUAAUCUGUGCGACUUUGCUUGAGCC